UACGGGGGGGGCAAGCGUUGUUCGGAAUUACUGGGCGUAAAGGGCUCGUAGGCGGCCAACUAAGUCGGAUGUGGAAUCCCCAGGCUUAACCUGGGAACUGCAUCCGAUACUGGAUGGCUUGAAUCCGGGAGAGGGAUGCAGAAUUCCAGGUGUAGCGGUGAAAUGCGUAGAUAUCUGGAGGAAUACCGGUGGCGAAGGCGGCAUCCUGGACCGGCAUUGACGCUGAGGAGCGAAAGCUAGGGGAGCAAACGGG
rnacentral:rRNA from 1 species